CUUCACACUUCACUGAUCACUCAACCAAAAUUCCAAAACCAUUAUUCCCAAGAAAGCGAGCAUUUAUUAUUUUCGGUCCCCUCGUGCCCGACAAACGACAUUAUCGAGCUUAUCAAUCAGAAAUUCAUUCGAUCCGGCUACUACAUUAGACGACAAGAUCUCGUUGCACCGAUGAAAAAUUUGUUGGAAGUGCUCCAUCGUUGUGUUGGAUCUCGAAAGUAACCUGAUCCCAAUCGAUAAGAAUUUUCCAUUUUCAGGAUAUGUACACAAAGGCAAUCUAGAUUCCCUACAAUCAGCGCCUUUACACGUUGCACGCGAUAUCGGGGAAGUGGAAGGAACUUUUUUUUUUGUAUCAGUUUUCUGUACCACUUUUCUUUCAGGAUGCUACCGGGUGAAAUUCUACGAAAUUUCUUCGCAAAGAAAGCGUUCGUGCCACUUUCACGCCAUCGAGUUUAACAACGUCGAGCUUCGAGUAUCAACUAGAGAAUACGUGGAGAAGAAUUUCCAUUUCAAUCUCCUUCUGGGAGAACGGGCUUCUCUUGGUUUCUGAACGAUGUCGCUCGAAGUUAAAGGUUACACGACAAGGGAGAGACGAUCGGCUAGCAGCGUACGACGACACGAUCCGAAAAAGGAAUUCGAAGAUUCGUACGUCGAGAUGCGGCGGCCUCGAGCCACUUUUCGAGGCCUGCGUGUCUCUCACGAGCAGCGUCCACGAAUUCCAGCCGAGCACGCACGGAGGACUCGCCUGGUUCUUAGCCUCCGACGGCGACCACUUGUUGCAUCGACCGGCCGACCUCCGUGGCGCGAGUGUGUUUCCUCUCGAUAUCUGCCUAAGAGAUACACUUGCAUCCUUGAACGUCGAAUUCGUUGGACAGUAAGCCUUUCCGAACGAAUCCUGCCGGAUGGAAUCGAGCGCCCGAAUAUGUCGGUCAAACACGGAUCGGUAAUUCGAAAACUCUCACGAAAUUCUGAUCAUCGUUUUACACCAGUUACUCGAUGUACUCGUUGAAAUUUUCUUAAUCAAAAAAUCUGGAGCCUAAAAAUCGAAGUUUCUAUAUAUUGUCGACGGCUGUCUUUUUUUUGUAGGAUAACUCCAAGAACUUGUCCUCGAAGAACACAGAAAAACGACACACUCUCUACAACUGUACAUCGAGCACUGAAUACCGAGUCUCGAUUCGUGUCCCCUCCAGAAUGGCCUACCCCACCACGGACCAUUUUACUGGACGAAGGGCUUGAGAACGCGUCUAGGCGUCGAAUAUACUUGGAAGUAUUACCACUGAACGACGAUGCUGUCGAUCCUUCUCAGGACCAAUUCACCGUAUAGACAUGAAAGGUGCUUUUUAUGUGAAAAGCAAAUAUUCUCUUCGCUUUUAUCUACGGUAAAUCGUUAUCUGGAUAUCGGGGAGACGUCACACGGAUGAGAUAUACAAACUGUACUACAACAGCAUGAAAAAGUGGAAUUUUAGUUGCGCAAGAUUCCUUCAAAAUGAAAAAUUCGUCACGAGAACAGAAACAGAAGCCAGUCAAGGAAGAAAAUUGAGAAACAACUGUUGGAGAGAGCAGCAUUGGUUGUUAAAGACACUGUACACGUUGCCUCUUAUAAUAGAGUGAUCGAGAACUCUGUAGAGCCAUCUACAAAGAUCCCCGUAACCGCAACAGUAAAAGAAGAUGAAAGAGAAACAGAGAUAAUUGGCGGGGAAUCAUGUGGUGGGGCUUAAGACAGUCUGUGCCAACUCUCUGGGAACGAGUACGUACACCGUCGAGGAUGGUUAGGCGAGUACAGAGAGGCGAGGAAGAGGAGGUAGAAGCUGCUUAAGGAGGCCACGGAAUCUGCAGACGUCUCAGCGUCGACCAGUUUUCUCAUACGGUCGACAUAUGGUAUAUACUAUACACGGUGGUCUAAACAUUCCUGGAAUGAAUCUCUACCUGAGAUGAACCCUUCAUCUGUCUUUCAAUGAAACAUCAAUUAUUGCAAUUAACUUUAGGCUUUAGCAACAACAGUAAAAAUGCGUACUGUUCUUUAAAUUGCUUUUAGAUCCGUGCAGAUUGCGAAUUCUACGAUGUAGAAUGUAACAUCGGUUUCUAAGUAUUGUCGAGCCAAGUACGGCAUGACUCAAGUAUUGGCAAGGUCUGGGUUAAACCUGGCUAAGAUUAGACCGGGUCUAGGUUGGAUCUGCUUAUAUAUAUAUAAAUGUCAUAUUGAAAUGAAAUAUUAUAUCUCUGCCAAAUGUUUGUUACAUUUGUUACGGUUAUCUAGAACUGAAAUAGAACAAGACUAGAUUCGGUGGAAACACACAAAGAGAGAAGUCAGUCUGUUUCCAUGGAACGACCGAAUCGAUGACUCGACUCUGACGAUUGCAAUCUGAUAAGGGUCGGUUUCGUGGCGAGAAACAAUGACGACUCACCGGGUCUUUGGGGGCUUGUUCGUGAUCGGUACAGAAGUGGCUGUUGCCCGUUUAAACGGUGCCCGAUCUCCCGAACCCAUGGACAUUCCGCUUCGAGCCUGUCACAGACAAAAAGAACACAAUUAGCGGGCGGAACACACAUAGCAGAAGACUCGUCGAAUCGGUAAAAUGCGAUCAAACGAUACGUCGUUCACCCAUUCGUCGUACGUCACUUUCGAGAUACACGUCUCUCCCGGGUACAGGAAAACGCACGCGAACGUCUUUGGACUAAUAGCACAGGUGCAGCGUUGAAACCGCAAGUGUGACAUCCUUGACAAGGAAAAUUCACAAACGAGACGAUCCUUUAACCUACGACGCACGCACAACAUUUUCCAUUGGGACUGCACCUCCCGAGCGCGCAGAGAGCUCGACGGAAUUCGAAGUGAACCUGAUAAGAGAAGCCACGACCUGAUGCAAUAUUUGAGAAUAUCCGUUGGCCAAUAGAUAAAGCACCAUAAAGCAGCGUGAACGAGCGAGUCGAAGAAGUUAGUUACAAUGUGUUGAACAAGUACCGGUUCCCUUCCCCAGGAGAACUGGCGAGACCCAAUGGAUUUUCAGCGAAUAUACACUUGGGAGAGUUUCAAUCAGAAGGGUACAUGUCCGUAUACAUAGCUGUAAAGGUUCAUCGAACCUUCGCCGCGCGUACGGGUUCUCGGCCAAUAAUAAAGAUGCAUGCCCGGUACGUAACUACGUUCUGCACAUACGUACGUAUUAUCCUGCACCCGUGGCCGCUCGCUCCACGCGAAAUACUCUCCCAGCGAACACGCUAAAACGAUAUAUACGCGUUUUCAGGUUGUCCAUCCUUCUACAGGAUAUUCCCACAACAAAAC